rnacentral:lncRNA from 1 species
CUAAAUAAAAGCAAGAGGUUUCAUAUAUAACUUUUUAGAUGGGUUAAGCUUUUAUGCAAAAGGGUGUCUAGCUAUCCCACCAUACAGCCUUCAUGAUCCUUGAGAGUCUUUUAUUUCUAGUUUAUGACGGGUAAGUCUAGGUGAGUACAAUCUCGUACUCAGGGUUCUUCAUGAUCCUUCAAAGUUUUUUAUUUCUAGUUUAUGACGGGUAAGUCUAGCUGAGUACAUUCUCGUACUCAGGGUUCUAUUCCCAUGUUGUUUUGUAGAUGUGCAGAUGUAUUACAGUUAUUGCAUCAGUUGCUUGUACCCAGCAAUGGGUAAUGACUAGACCAAGAGCAAUGGUCACACUACUUGAUUCUUUGGUACUCCGUCGUGGUGAAUCGCCCACAACCACUCACAAGCUUGACACGAGCCACGCCCAUAAGAACAUCGAGCGGUCUUCGUGCCUCCAUUCACCACCGAACCGUCUAGGUGAUGGCAAUCACCAAGAGUAACAAGCAAAGAACUCUCACUUAACCCAAACAAGGCACUAGAGAGUGGUGGAUGCACACUUGAACUCUUGG